UUCAUCUAUCAAAGAUCUUCAAAAUUUUCUGGUGGUGCUGAUAUCAAGGCAGCAGGAGCGCAAGCAUCUCACCAAAAUUUUGACGCUCCUCGCACUUAUGUAGAAGCAGAGAAGCAGUGCUAGAGCUAAUGAUCACACUUAGGAUGGAAGGGUUUGCCAAACUUUGUAGCAGUUGCUCCCAGGGUUUCUUCUCAUGUUAGCGAUAAUAAUCCUAACAAAGCAGCCAUUGAUCUUAAUAAUUCAACUUCUUGAAACCAUCAAGUGUAGGACUUUGAUGAAUUUGAUCCUACCAGUUCUGUUUCAGAGAUUAUGAAGACCGCUACAGCAGGGAUGAUGACUACCGAGGAAGAAGUGUUGAUGAUUAUCAAUAGGCACAUGAUUUAGGAGUUAUGGUAAAGACCAUGCUUUUGACGAGGAUGGUUCUUCUUGUUGGGGAAGUAGUGCUAAAGCUAAUGAUCACUCUCAGGAUGGAAGGUAGCAUGAGCGCAAGCAUUCUCACCAAAAUGUCGGUACUCCUCGCAGUUAUGUAGAAGCAGUAAGUGAGAUUCAGAUUCCUUCUUAUAGCGCAAGGGGAAGCGCGCUAGAGCUAAUGAUCACUCUCAGGAUGAAGGUAACAGAGCACAAGCAUUCUCACCAAAAUGUCAGUGCUCCUUGCAGUUAUGUAGAAGCAGGGAAGCGGUGCUAGAGCUAAUGAUCACUCUCUGGAUGGAAGGUAACCCUUUAUAGUGAAAGG